UACAGAGGGGGCAAGCGUUAUUCGGAAUUAUUGGGCGUAAAGGGCUCGUAGGCGGCCAACUAAGUCCGACGUGAAAUCCCCAGGCUUAACCUGGGAACUGCGUCGGAUACUGGAUGGCUUGAAUUCGGGAGAGGGAUGCAGAAUUCCAGGUGUAGCGGUGAAAUGCGUAGAUAUCUGGAGGAAUACCGGUGGCGAAGGCGGCAUCCUGGACCGACAUUGACGCUGAUGAGCGAAAGCUAGGGGAGCAAACGGG
rnacentral:rRNA from 1 species